CCUACGGGUGGCAGCAGUGAGGAAUAUUGGUCAAUGGACGAGAGUCUGAACCAGCCAAGUAGCGUGAAGGAUUACUGCCCUAUGGGUUGUAAACUUCUUUUAUAAAGGAAUAAAACGAGGCACGUGUGCCUUUUUGCAUGUACUUUAUGAAUAAGGAUCGGCUAACUCCGUGCCAGCAGCCGCGGUAAUACGGAGGAUCCGAGCGUUAUCCGGAUUUAUUGGGGUUAAAGGGAGCGUAGAUGGUUUGUUAAGUCAGUUGUGAAAGUUUGCGGCUCAACCGUAAAAUUGCAAUUGAUACUGGCAGUCUUGAGUACAGUUGAGGUAGGCGGAAUUCGUGGUGUAGCGGUGAAAUGCUUAGAUAUCACGAAGAACCCUGAUUGCGAAGGCAGCUUACUAAACUGUGACUGACAUUGAUGCUCGAAAGUGUGGGGAUCAAACAGGAUUAGAUACCCCAGUAGUC
rnacentral:rRNA from 1 species